GGAGGGAGCGCUGCCUCGUCGGGCCUGCCGGUCCUCACCGCUGGCGCUUCACCUACUUCGCCGCAGCCCACCGCCACACUGACCCGCUCCCCCGCCUCGCUCGAGGAGCUGGAAUUGGACGGAAAGCCGCGAGGGUCCCGCCCCGCAAUCACCGGCUAACGAAGAUUGGAUGUAACGCCGCGGACGCCCCGCCCCGUACUUGAAGCCUGGGACGAGCGGGGCCUGCGCUCUGGCGGGACCCAGCCCAACCUCCCGCGGGCGCCCGCUGCCCAGGGCUGGGUUCUAGGCUGCGUGCCUGGGGGAGGCUUCCCCGACGCCAGAGGAACGGCUCCAGCUGUGCCGGACAGCAGUUGACGGCUUGCGGCAGUUGGAGCCCAGCGCCCCGGGCCGGGGACACAGCGGGCGACUCUGGGCAGGCAGCAGUCCGCCUACGCAGCUCCUGACCCCUACCAGUGCGACUGAUUUUGCAACCCUGAAGCCAGAAUUUAUACCAAUGCUUUUAAAAGAAAUAGUGUGGUUUACCCUGUAUCCUGGCAAGAGAGCAGUGACACCACAGCUCUCUGCUUAAUCUUUCUCUUUAUCCACCGAAGCUGAAGUUGGCCCAGCGUAGGUAAUGCUUCAAGCACUCUGCAGCAUCCCUGCUUCCCUACCCUUCUACAAUUGUUCGUGAUGCCCAAGGUCCGGGAAGCCCCGACGGAUGCUUACACAGCAAGCUUGGGGUUGAUGUGAUUUUUUUUUUUUUUUUUUACUAUUGGGCCAAAAAAAAAAAAAAUGGAGUUUUCAACCCACAUGAAGCUAGACAAGUUCAAGAAGAUCCUAAUGGGAUUAGCUUAGUUUCACAGGCCAGGCUAUUUUACAUUUACUUCUUGAAACAAAGUAUACUGUUUGAGUUUUCAUAUUCAAUACAUUGUUUCAUUUUUGUGGAAGAAACAACCGACCAAUAGUUAACAGUGGCUAUCAAAUAUAGUGGAUAUCAAAUAUAAAGAACCAGAUUUCGAAUUAACAUGUCAUUACAGGUACUAUUAUUUAUGUUUUUCCUAACUCCUUUGGUAGUUAAAUCUGAUGAACGGAACUGAAGCUAUGUAUAACUGAAUACGCACUUGGUUUGAAUAAGUUUUCUACAGAACCUUACAUGUGUUUGAUUGUGGUGCAGCUCCAGCCCUUGCUGAAGGUGUUGUAUAUUAUAUGACAGACAAACUUUUAAAAGGUUUCAAAUAAGGAAUAUAUAUUUUGUAGUACUUGUUUCUGAAGAUGUGAUUAAGGACAUUUCUCAUAGUAUGUAAAUGUUGUAUUCUGGGUAAUGUUACAAUUGGUUUACAAGAUAGCAUUCUUAAACAGAAUAAAUAAAUAAUAAAAAGCUGUUCAAAAGCCUUCAUCUUA